ensembl:snoRNA
AUCCUUUUGUAGUUCAUAAGUGUGAUGAUUGGCUUUGCACACUCUUAUGUAAGAUGUGCCUCCCUCAAACCUUGUUAGGGCAUUGUCACAUUACCCAUUUGAGG